rnacentral:rRNA from 1 species
AUUGAACGCUGGCGGAAUGCUUUACACAUGCAAGUCGAACGGCAGCACGGACUUCGGUCUGGUGGCGAGUGGCGAACGGGUGAAUAAUGUAUCGGAACGUGCCCAGUCGUGGGGGAUAACGUAGUGAAAAUUACGCUAAUACCGCAUACGAUCUAUGGAUGAAAGCGGGGGAUCGCAAGACCUCGCGCGAUUGGAGCGGCCGAUAUCAGAUUAGGUAGUUGGUGGGGUAAAGGCCCACCAAGCCAACGAUCUGUAGCUGGUCUGAGAGGACGACCAGCCACACUGGAACUGAGACACGGUCCAGACUCCUACGGGAGGCAGCAGUGGGGAAUUUUGGACAAUGGGCGAAAGCCUGAUCCAGCCAUUCCGCGUGCAGGAUGAAGGCCCUCGGGUUGUAAACUGCUUUUGUACAGAACGAAAGGGUUUCUACUAAUACUAGGAGCUCAUGACGGUACUGUAAGAAUAAGCACCGACUAACUACGUGCCAGCCGCCGCAGUAA